AGCUGAUCACUGGGCAUAAAGAGUGCGCAGGCGGUUUUGUAAGACAGAGGUGAAAUCCCCGGGCUCAACCUGGGAACUGCCUUUGUGACUGCAAGGCUGGAGUGCGGCAGAGGGGGAUGGAAUUCCGCGUGUAGCAGUGAAAUGCGUAGAUAUGCGGAGGAACACCGAUGGCGAAGGCAAUCCCCUGGGCCUGCACUGACGCUCAUGCACGAAAGCGUGGGGAGCAAACA
rnacentral:rRNA from 1 species